rnacentral:rRNA from 1 species
GCACAAGCGGUGGAGCAUGUGGUUCAAUUCGACGCAACGCGAAGAACCUUACCUGGGCUAGACAACGGUGGACCGUCCUAGAAAUAGGAUUUUCCCUUCGGGGACUGCCGGUUCAGGUGCUGCAUGGCUGUCGUCAGCUCGUGCCGUGAGGUGUUGGGUUAAGUCCCGCAACGAGCGCAACCCUUGUCCUUAGUUGCCACCAUUCAGUUGGGCACUCUAGGGAGACUGCCGGCGUUAAGCCGGAGGAAGGUGGGGACGACGUCAAGUCAUCAUGGCCCUUAUGUCCAGGGCCACACACGUGCUACAAUGGGCGGUACAAAGGGUCGCAAACCCGCGAGGGGGAGCCAAUCCCAAAAAGCCGCUCUCAGUUCGGAUUGGAGUCUGCAACUCGACUCCAUGAAGUUGGAAUCGCUAGUAAUCGCGGAUCAGCACGCCGCGGUGAAUACGUUCCCGGGC